CCGCUACAAACAACCAUUGCGUGUGAUUUACGCAGCUGCAAUGAUGAAGUACUACUCGUCAGUCAUCGUCUUGCUUCUUCUGCUGGCUGGUUUCUUGGACAUCAGCUCCGGAAGUUUGCCGGAGGAGGAGAUUACGUAUGAACCCAUUGAUGAACGCUACUGGAACCAUGCUUGACCAGAUUUGUCUCCACCAACGUUUGUUUUUUGACCGAAGGUGAAAAGAAAGCGGUUGCCCUGAUAAUUACAAGUGCAGCCACAGCUGCAAGAUCGAGGGUUACCACUUCGGCGUUUGAGAACCACCGUAUAAGACCUACUGCACCUGCUUGCCUUAUUACCGCUUGUGUUGCAACGUCAUCUUCUUGUUUAUUGCG